UUUCCGUAGGUGAACCUGCGGAAGGAUCAUUCAUAAUAAGUGUUUUAUGGCACUUUUUUAAAUCCAUAUCUACCUUGUGUGCAAUGUCAGGGUUGAUUUUUCUCUCGAGAGGAUCAACCCCAAACAUCAACUAUAUCUCAACUCUUUGUCUGAAAAAUAUUAUGAAUAAAACAAUUCAAAAUACAACUUUCAACAACGGAUCUCUUGGCUCUC
rnacentral:misc_RNA from 1 species